rnacentral:rRNA from 1 species
UACGUAGGGACCAAGCGUUGUUCGGAUUUACUGGGCGUAAAGGGCGCGUAGGCGGCGAAUCAAGUCAGUUGUGAAAUCUCCGAGCUUAACUCGGAACGGUCAACUGAUACUGUUUUGCUAGAGUGCAGAAAGGGCAACCGGAAUUCCUGGUGUAGCGGUGAAAUGCGCAGAUAUCAGGAGGAACACCGGUGGCGAAGGCGGGUCUCUGGGCCGAUACUGACGCUGAGGAGCGAAAGCGUGGGGAGCGAACAGG